rnacentral:tRNA from 1 species
GGCGUAGUUGGUAACGCGCGACCUUGCCAAGGUCGAGACCGCGGGUUCGAGCCCCGUC